ensembl:lncRNA novel transcript
UGGAGUGGAGUUUGAACCCAGACAGUCCAGCUGUGUGUGGGUUCUUUCCAGCACACCACCUCUCCCCACCACCAUUUCUGCAGCUCCUGCUCUGAACCACAUCCUUUGCUAAGAACUUCAUGGGCAGUAUCCCAUCCAAACCUUGCAACAACCCAGAAGGGCCUCUUCUUCAGGGAAUGGAAGCAGCCGACUGGACCGGGAUUGGAGUGUGUCUCCCACCUGGGGGCGCCAGAGGGCACAUAUACUGCUGUACUCGUUUGUGCCACCAGAGGGCAGCCUCCGCACAUCGAUCUCUACUGCUUCCGAGAACUGUCCAAACCGGCGGGACUGAGAGAGAGAAACCUGGUCCAGGGCAGAGAAAGAGAGGAGCCCACUGCAGUGCGUGCAAGCGAUCUUCCACGCGUCCAUCCUGAAUGUGUUAAAAGCAGCAGUUAAAGAGGGAGGGCUCUGGAGUUGGACUGUUUGCGUUUGAACCCAGACUCUGGGCAAAAGCUGCUGAACCUCUCUGAAUCUAAUAGCCUCAUCUGUGAAUUGGAAGGAUACUAGCGAGGAUUAAAUGAGAGUGCAUAGGAAGGGCCUAGCCCCGGUGCCCAGCACAGAGGCUCCAUAUGUGUCACCGUUGUCAAUUUCUGACUCAUGUAUUCAUCUAUUCAUUCACUUCUCAAACCAUCCUCUCGGCGUCAUGCAGUGCCUGCUGUAUUCUGGGUACUGUGGCAGGUCGGUGAUGAUGUAAACAGAGAUGGCGGCCAGGGACGGUGGCUCAAGCCUGUAAUCCCAGGCCUUUGGGAGGCUGAGGCGGAAGGAUCACUUGAGCCCAGGAGUUCGAGACCAGCCUGGGCAACAAAGUGAGACCCUGUCUCUACAAAAAACAAUAAUAAAAAAAACAUUAGUCAGGUGUGGUGGUGCA